GACGAACGCUGGCGGCGUGCCUAAUACAUGCAAGUCGAACGCUUCUUUCCUCCCGAGUGCUUGCACUCAAUUGGAAAGAGGAGGGGCGGACGGGUGAGUAACACGUGGGUAACCUACCCAUCAGAGGGGGAUAACACUUGGAAACAGGUGCUAAUCCCGCAUAACAGUUUAUGCCGCAUGGCAUAAGAGUGAAAGGGGCUGGCGGGUGGCGCUGAUGGCUGGACCCGCGGUGCAUUAGCUAGUUGGUGAGGUAAGGGCUCACCUAGGCCACGAGGCAUAGCCGACCUGUUUGGGGGAUCGGCCACACUGGGACGUAGCCACGGCCCUGACGCCUGCGGGAGGCACCAGUAGGCAAUGUUCGGCAAUGGUCGAAAGUCUUACCGAGCAACCCCGCGUGAGUGAAGAAGGUGCUCGGAUCGUAAAGCUCUGUUGUUAGUGAAGAACCAGUUCCUUAGUAACUGAACCGCCCCUGACGGUAUCUAACCAGAAAGCCACGGCUAACUACGUG
rnacentral:rRNA from 1 species